rnacentral:misc_RNA from 1 species
UAGGUGGCGCAAAUGUACUAGUGGUUAUAAGUCACAACCGGAAGUCAGCUUUCAAAGUGGCUCGUAUCGAAGAUUCACUCGACCGUUAUCAGCUAUGCCAAGAUACUGCUCUGUUCCGGGUUGUAAAAAUAAGAUUGGAGGACAUAAAUACCCUUCAGACCCCGACCUGCAACAAAAGUGGCGCGUGGCGGUAAGAAGAGUUGAUGUUCCAACAAAGAAUCUGUGGAAGCCAGGGACAGGCGACGUAGUCUGUAGGGCUCACUUCACUGAUGAUGAUUUCGUGGAUACACUAUUAGGUUCGUAAAAACAGUAUUAUUUUGUCUGUUGAGAAUGAUAAAUAAUUAUUUGUGCAUGGUUUUCUUACUGUUUUUUUGUAUGUUGGCAAAGAAAAGCGCAAAAGCAGAAUAUAUUAGCCUAUAACAAAUAUCGAAUAGCCAAUAUCCUCAUGAUACUGGUAACUGGGCCCUGUUUAUCAGCUGUUCAUUCACAGACCCAAACAUUAAUGAAUAGGCCUAAACAUUUGAUUGUAUAUUUAUUUAUGUAUGUUAUUAUGGAAACAAUCUUUCUUUUAUUAACUAUAACAACGAAGUAAAUUUAUUCAUAGACAAAAAUAUACAUGUCAAAAUGUGAUUUAUUAAUUUUGAAUAGCCAAUAUCCUCAUGCUACUGUUCAACAGCUGUUCAUUCACAGACCCAUUCACCUUAGUAAAUAUGAUUAAGUUUCUGCUUGCAUAAAGCAAUGUAAAGAUAUUUCUAUAAUCAGAGGUCCAGAUAACUUUUUUUGAGUAAAUGAGUUUUAACUCUAGGGUUUCUAUUUUAAAUGGGUUAUAAGUAUAACAUUUUUCAUAGGGUAACCAAUAUUAUUUCAAUCAUCCAUUCAUGACUCUAUUCGGAUUUUCCCAAAAUUAGUAAACAUUUAUCAUUAGAUGUAUAUAACUGUACUUAAUAUAUAGGCUUGACUCAGAUAGUAAAUUAGCUCAUAAUUGUGUUUCGGAAAUUAGCCCUGUUUUACGAUUGCUAUUAACGCGUGCUGUUUUCAAACAUUUGAGUUUUUCCUUAAAUGCAUGCGUUUUUGUACACAAGAUAAUCAGUGUGUAAUUGGGUUUUUAAUAUUUUACACAAAUGUGCAGCUAAUCUGUAGCUCUGUAUAGCGUACACACACAUUUUGAUAAUGAAUAUCAUAAAAAACAACCAUGAAUGUGUCUUCAACUUGUGUAUUGUUGAUUUAUGCCAUGUUUGCAAGUGAAUUUAGAUAUUAUUAUUUUGGUUGAUUCCUUGUUAAUGUUUGUUCUUGUUGCUUUGUGUUAAAUUCCUGUUUUUAAGGAGCCAUACAAACGAUGACAAGCCUGAAGCUUCCGACAGAAGAAUUACUCAACGAGGCCUGGGAAACUCAGUGAACGAAGUCGUCUCCGGGCAGCUGCGGUUCCCUCCAUCUUCCCACAUACAUCAUGCACCAGUACAUCAGCACUACCAACUCGACCAAAGAGGGCACAUCAACUCCGUGAAGAAGAAGCCAACAUAGCUAUAUUGAAUGUGUCGUCGGAGGUGGAAAUCGGCAUUGGAGAGGAUUGUGCUAUCACAAGCCCAAGUAGCUUGAAUGAGCCUCUUGAAACAUGUCAAAGUGACUCUCAGUCUACUCAGUGCAGUUUGUUAGGAAGUUGUUCCAUAGAAACCUACAUAAAUAAUCCCAAAGCUGUUUUGUACUUUGCUGGUUUCCAAGAUUAUGACCAUUUCAUGUUUUUCUUUCACUCGCUUGGUCCAGCAGUUUUUGAACUGAACUAUCAAUGUGAACUCUUGCACCCAAAAGACCAACUGUUUUUGACUCUAAUGAAAUUAAGACAGGCCAAGGAUGACAUUGAAUUAAGUUUCUUGUUUGGCAUAUCAUCAUCCACUGUUUCCCAAAUUGUAAUAACAUGGAUCAAUUUCUUAUAUUUCCAACUGAAGGAACUACAGAUAUGGCCAUCAAGAGCAACUGUUGAUGAUCACAUGCCAACAGAUUUCGGUAAGAAGUUUAAAAACACUAGAGUCAUUUUGGAUGCAACAGAGAUACCAAUAAAGAAGCCAUCUCAUGUUGAUGCUCAGAGCAUGACAUGGUCCAGCUAUAAACAUCAAAACACAUUGAAAACCAUGAUCGGUUGCACACCCAGGGGGGCAGUCUCAUUUAUUAGUGAAUCUUUUGGGGGGUCUGCAAGUGACAGACAGAUCAUAGAACAGUCUCCUUUACUUAACCCAUCACAUGGUAUGUUUGAAAAACAGGAUAGCAUUAUGGCUGACAGGGGCAUUAUGGUUCAAGACUUAUUUGCAGCCCAAGAUGUUCAAGUAAACACCCCAACUAUGUUAAAAGGCAAGUCACAGUUAGAACCAGAAGAUGUUGUUAAGGAUAGAAGAAUUGCUUCUAAAAGAAUCCAUGUUGAACGUAUAAUUGGUCUGAGUAAAACUUUCAAAAUUCUGAAAAAACAUCUCCCACCAAGUAAAGUAGUACUUGGAUCGCGGAUUGUUUAUGUUUGUUUUGCUAUUUCAAAUUUCAGAAAUUCCAUUGUAAAUGAAUUUGCUUGAAGCAUCUCUUCUUUGUGAUAUCUGUGACUGAAAUUUGUAGUAGUAGUAGAAUUUUAUUCAGUAGUGUGAGUGAUUGAGAAUUGUUUUACACCUCUUUUAGCAAUAUCAUGGCGGAGGACCCCAGAAAUGAGCUUCACCAAUGUUACCCAUGUCGGGAAUUGAACCCGGGUCUUCGGCGUGACAAGCAAACACUUUAGCCAUAAGGCCACCCAACUGCCUUAUACAGUAGUAAUAUAAUCGGUAUGGUCACAUGGCCUAUAGUACAGUUUUUCGUAAUAAUAAGUGGUCAUGUGAGAGCUCGUAAUUUGAAAACAUGUUUCAUAUACAGAGCAACAGAUUUAAGGAGAUGUACAGUUCUUGUAUUUAGCUAAUUGACCAUUGAAUGAGUGUUGUUAAAGCUAUGAAAAGGUAAUUUUAUUCACAGAGUAACUUGGGCAUAUGAACCUAAUAUGAUACUCAUCUUCAACAAAAUCUAAAUGACAGUAGACCCGGGAAGAUUCCGGGGUAGGAUCGGUCUUCAGCAACCCAUACUGCCGUAAAAGGCGACUGACGGGAUCGGGUGGUCAGGCUCGCUCACUUGGUUGAUGCAUGUCAUCUAUCCCAAUUGCGUGGAUUGAUGCUCAUGAUGUCAAUCACUGGAUUGUCUGAUCCAGACUCGAUGAUUUACAGACCGCUGUCAUAUAGCUGGAAUAUUGCUGAUUGCGGCGUAAAACAACAAACAAACCAACCAACUAAAUGACAAUAUGUAUAUAAAGUAUUAAAGUUACCUACAUUUUCACAUUUAUGGAGCUGAACUGAAUUCAUUAAGGCUUUAAAAUGUGACUAGUGGUGUUGAAAAUUCAAUUUGUAAGGUAAAGUCUAACAAUACCUAAUAUGAUGUACAUAAUCAAUACUAUUGACAUUCACUUGUGUGAUAUAUAUAGUCCUACAUUGUCUGAAAAUUACUUCAUUAUUUGCACCAACAUUUUUCAAAGGUUGAAUCAUUUCAAUCAAACAUAUGUCAUUUGUAGUCAAAGAGACCGUUUUUAACAGCGAUGGGCUCACAAUAUUUCAGUUAUUUGAGGCUUAUCCCACUGAAAACAUUCAUACAAGGCUAACCUUACAUUUGUAAUGGCUUCUGGCUUUCAACUGAGUGUGAAAAUCUCCCCACGACCCAAAAAGUGUAUGGAGUGUAACUUGUGACACACGCAUGUCAUAUUAAAAUGUGAAUCUCUCAUGUGUCAAAGAAAUUGCUUCUUUUCAUUAGUUAUUUAUGCAUAUGGUAAGCUUUGAAAUGAAAGAUAAAGGUGACAUGCUGUCAUUUUGUUUGGUGGUAUUACCAUAUUUAGUCAAACAAUUGAUUGGGAAACCAAAACCACAAUAUUUUAACUUUGCCAAUGACUUGUAAUAGUCUCAAACCACAGCAGUUUAUUAUUUCUAACUCUGUGUACUGUAGUUACCCCUGAGCACAAUGUACCGCUCCACUGAUGCUCUUACAAUGUGUAUGUACCUUGUGGUAACAGGUUGUAAACCUGUUCAGUGAAAUCUAGAGGAAACCCAAAAUCUUUCUCUUGAGUGUCUGAAUAAACAUGUGUGUAUAUAUGAAA